rnacentral:rRNA from 1 species
GAUGAACGCUGGCGGCGUGCUUAACACAUGCAAGUCGAGCGAGAAGUUUUGAAAAGAUUCUUCGGAUGAAAUUUAAAAUGGAAAGCAGCGGACGGGUGAGUAACGCGUAGGCAACCUGCCCCAUACAAAGGGAUAGCAUUUGGAAACGAAUAUUAAUACCUUAUGAAACUUAACUAGUGCAUGCUAGGUAGGUCAAAGAUUUAUCGGUAUGGGAUGGGCCUGCGUCUGAUUAGCUAGUUGGUGAGGUAACGGCUCACCAAGGCGACGAUAGUAGCCGACCUGAGAGGGUGAACGGCCACAUUGGAACUGAGACACGGUCCAAACUCCUACGGGAGGCAGCAGUGGGGAAUAUUGCACAAUGGGGGAAACCCUGAUGCAGCAACGCCGCGUGAACGAUGAAGGCCUUUGGGUCGUAAAGUUCUGUUCUAGGUGAUGAAAACUGACAGUAACCUA